rnacentral:lncRNA from 1 species
GUGUUUUUCCAUAAUUUUUGACUUUUGAUAUUUGCCAGUACCUUUGCAAUGGCAGCUGUGCCCUCAGCUGGCUGUCUUCUGGCCAAGAACCAGUACUACAGAACCCGACUAAAUUCUGAUGCCAGUGUUUCUUCAAGCAGUUCAUCUUGCUGUUCUGAACCCUUGACCUACUCAGACCAAGACAAACACCUCCACGGUACUGUGGCUCUAUUAAUAUUAUUAGCUAUAACUCAAAAAAAGUUGAGUGUGCUUAUGAGAGUCAUUUGUACCAGUGUUCUCAGUGGUGCAUUUAAUUUCCAUACAUUUUCAAUGAGACUUAAGCAUGCUUUGUUUUCUCUGGUACUUUCACUUCAUUAA